GUGUGUCAAAAACUUUACCGUUAGCUCCUUAAAAAAAAGAACAAAAAAAGCACAAAAAGAAACAAAAAACAGUUAAAACACUUGAAACACUUUUGCCUGCAUAUGAAAUGUUCAUUGUGCUGUUGCCGUUGUUGUUAUUGUUGUUGUUGUCGUUGUCGUUGUUGCCUUUUAUUGAAUUUGAAGUGGGCCAUUGAGCCAGCUGCCGUUUGCUCACGGUCCUGCAACUACAACAUUGCGCAUUAUCAUUCACAACUCAUCCGAUUGCCAUUGCCUCGCAUGCCACCCCCACCCCAGCCCCAUCGGAGUGGAGCGCUGUACCCGAAUCGUGCAACUGCCCCAAGGGCAUGCUUAUGCAGGUGCAAAAGGGGCGAGCAGCACGCUUUAUUGUCCUUCUGCGGCGCACAGAAAAUCAACUUGGCCGAGCUUGCUCACACAUACAUACAUACAUACAUACAUACAUUGUGUGUCCGGAUAAAGUUGACGAGCUCUAGAGACCACAAACAACAACAAACUGCAAAUGGAGCGGGGGGAGAUGGGAGCUGGCCCUGGAGCUGGAGCUGGGUAUUAAUACCAGCGGAGCUACGAUAUUCCCUCUAUAUAUGUACAUAUGUAUGUAUGUGUGUAUAUGCUCUACGGUUUACAGCUUACGCUCUAAGGUAAGUGGGGCGGAGUGGGCAGCAGUGACGGGAAAUAAUGCAAGUUAAUGCGCUUGUGUACACGGACAUAAUGUAUAAUUAAUUUGGCUCGACAUGCACAUUUGCCAGCGGCCACCUGUUGAGCUCCGGCUCUCACCUGCCGCGCCACGCCCCCAGUUCAACCAGCCAACCCAUUGAAAAGUGGCAUAACGAGCACUCAGGCAACGGCUUAAAAGUGCUCACAAAUUGCUACAUGGCAAUGUCUGUGUUACAGUCGAGAGAUGUGCAUGUGUGUGUGUGUGUGUGUGUGUGUGUGUGUGUGUGUGUGUGUGUGUGUGUGUGAGUAUGAGUGUGUGUUGCUGGGCUGCUGCUUUCAUCAACACUUCCGCUGCAGCAGCAGCAGCAGCAGCUGUUGAAAAAGAGCUGCAAACUGAAACUGCAAUUGAAGCGCUUUUCACUGCAGACAGCAGACCUACCUGGACACAAAGAACAAAAAACUGGUUAAGGUGUACUAAUUGGCCAUGCUCAGCGGGCACAUGCCCUGUAAUUAGCUGCAAGCUAUCAUUAGAAAUGAAUUGUAUAUAUACCCUUUAAUUAACUGCAAGCUAUCAUUAUAAAUACAUUGUAUGUAUAUAUAUAUACU